GCUCCAAUGGGUCAGCGGGAGACCGGCCUGAUCAUAUUCAACGACGUCAGUGUAAUCCAUUACAUAGUAUUUCGGGCAGAGGUGGGUUCGACUCCCGCUUGGGGCG